rnacentral:tRNA from 1 species
GCUUGGAUAGCUCAGUUGGUAGAGCAUGAGACUCUUAAUCUCGGGGUUGUGGGUUCAAGCCCCACAUUGGACA